rnacentral:lncRNA from 1 species
GGAAGGGAUUGUUUAGCUGAAAUGGAAGAUUUGAUAUCUGAACAAGGAGUUCUAAAUAAUUCUCUGCACCUUAAUCUGCCAAUACUCACUCUAAAACUACACAAAGGAGAUUCAAAAUAAAAAGAGGAUGAUAAACGGCAAAACCAUCUGAGCACUUCUUUAAUUUCUUCUUCUAACAACUGUGAAGUGGUCAAAAGGCAGAAAUGAGGAGGAAAGCAAAAAAGAAGAAGCCACAGGGUGUAGAUAAUCCACAAACAAGCUAAUUGGUCCCUGGGUAAUUGCUGACUCUCUUCAGCAGCCAUGCAAUGGAGAUUUCCAGGAAAAUGUAAAUACUGUAUUUAUAUCUGUUCAAAUUUUGUUUUCAAGAAUAAAAGUACUAAUCAGAUGGGUUUAA